rnacentral:rRNA from 1 species
GAUGAACGCUGGCGGCGUGCCUAACACAUGCAAGUCGAACGAAGCACCUUACCUGAUUCUUCGGAUGAAAGUUUGGUGACUGAGUGGCGGACGGGUGAGUAACGCGUGGGUAACCUGCCCUGUACAGGGGGAUAACAGCUGGAAACGGCUGCUAAUACCGCAUAAGCGCACGAGGAGACAUCUCCUUGUGUGAAAAACUCCGGUGGUACAGGAUGGGCCCGCGUCUGAUUAGCUGGUUGGCAGGGUAACGGCCUACCAAGGCAACGAUCAGUAGCCGGUCUGAGAGGAUGAACGGCCACAUUGGAACUGAGACACGGUCCAAACUCCUACAGGAGGCAGCAGUGGGGAAUAUUGCACAAUGGGGGAAACCCUGAUGCAGCAACGCCGCGUGAGUGAAGAAGUAUUUCGGUAUGUAAAGCUCUAUCAGCAGGGAAGAUAAUGACGGUACCUGACGAAGAAGCUCCGGCUAAAUACGUG